GAUGAAGAACGCAGCGAAAUGCGAUAAGUAAUGCGAAUUGCAGAAUCCGUGAGUCAUCGAAUCUUUGAACGCACAUUGCGCCCCUUGGUAUCCCGAGGGGCAUGCCUGUUCGAGCGUCAUUUCACCACUCAAGCCUGGCUUGGUGUUGGGCGACGUCCCCUUUGGGGACGCGCCUCGAAACGCUCGGCGGCGUGGCACCGGCUUUAAGCGUAGCAGAAUCUUUCGCUUUGGAAGUCGGGGCCCCGUCUGCCGGAAGACCUACUCGCAAGGUUGACCUCGGAUCAGGCAGGGAUACCCGCUGAACUUAAGCAUAUCAAUAAGCGGAGGA
rnacentral:misc_RNA from 1 species